rnacentral:rRNA from 1 species
GAGUGGCGGACGGGUGAGUAAUGUCUGGGAAACUGCCUGAUGGAGGGGGAUAACUACUGGAAACGGUAGCUAAUACCGCAUAACGUCGCAAGACCAAAGAGGGGGACCUUCGGGCCUCUUGCCAUCGGAUGUGCCCAGAUGGGAUUAGCUWGUWGGUGGGGUAACGGCUCACCUAGGCGACGAUCCCUAGCUGGUCUGAGAGGAUGACCAGCCACACUGGAACUGAGACACGGUCCAGACUCCUACGGGAGGCAGCAGUGGGGAAUAUUGCACAAUGGGCGCAAGCCUGAUGCAGCCAUGCCGCGUGUAUGAAGAAGGCCUUCGGGUUGUAAAGUACUUUCAGCGGGGAGGAAGGGAGUAAAGUUAAUACCUUUGCUCAUUGACGUUACCCGCAGAAGAAGCACCGGCUAACUCCGUGCCAGCAGCCGCGGUAAUACGGAGGGUGCAAGCGUUAAUCGGAAUUACUGGGCGUAAAGCGCACGCAGGCGGUUUGUUAAGUCAGAUGUGAAAUCCCCGGGCUCAACCUGGGAACUGCAUCUGAUACUGGCAAGCUUGAGUCUCGUAGAGGGGGGUAGAAUUCCAGGUGUAGCGGUGAAAUGCGUAGAGAUCUGGAGGAAUACCGGUGGCGAAGGCGGCCCCCUGGACGAAGACUGACGCUCA